rnacentral:rRNA from 1 species
UACAGAGGGUGCAAGCGUUGUUCGGAAUUAUUGGGCGUAAAGGGUGCGUAGGCGGUGCGGUAAGUCUGUAGUGAAAUCUCUGGGCUCAACUCAGAGUCUGCUAUAGAAACUGCCGUGCUUGAGUGUGGGAGAGGUGAGUGGAAUUCCCGGUGUAGCGGUGAAAUGCGUAGAUAUCUGGAGGAACAUCAGUGGCGAAGGCGACACCCUGGACUCAUACUG